AAGUCGUAACAAGGUUUCCGUAGGUGAACCUGCGGAAGGAUCAUUAACACGUAUCCACGUAUCUACCUCUUGUGAACUUAUUUUGUUUGGUAGUUUUCUCAAUAUAUGACUGAGGAAGCAGAUGGCCAUGUCGUGGGGUUUAAAAAAAAGUUCCUUCUUUUCUAAAAAGAUCGAGUUUUGAUUUUUCCCUCGUUCUGCUUGCCUAUCCACCUUUGUUGAGUGCUAGUGUAUCGAGGUUGUUCCAUACAUGAGUUCAGCCCUGCUAGCAAAACCACUCCUUGGGAUUGGGUAUUUGAGAAAACUCGAAUCAUGGUGGUUUAUUUAACCUAUUAACCCCUUUUUUUCUUUUAAAAUGUCUUAGUGAGUGAUUAUAUCGCUCCAUAAAAAUUUUUAACACUAUACAACUCUUAGCAACGGAUAUCUCGGUUCUCC
rnacentral:misc_RNA from 1 species